AAUAUUGGACAAUGGGGGAAACCCUGAUCCAGCCAUCCCGCGUGUAUGAUGAAGGCCNNNGGGUUNUNAAGUACUUUUGGCAGNGANNAAAAGGUAUCUCCUAAUACGAGAUACUGCUGACGGUAUCUGCAGAAUAAGCACCGGCUAACUACGUGCCAGCAGCCGCGGUAAUACGUAGGGUGCAAGCGUUAAUCGGAAUUACUGGGCGUAAAGCGUGUGUAGGCGGUUCGGAAAGAAAGAUGUGACAUCCCAGGGCUCAACCUUGGAACUGCAUUUUUAACUGCCGAGCUAGAGUAUGUCAGAGGGGGGUAGAAUUCCACGUGUAGCAGUGAAAUGCGUAGAUAUGUGGAGGAAUACCGAUGGCGAAGGCAGCCCCCUGGGAUAAUACUGACACUGAGGUGCGAAAGCGUGGGGAGCAAACAGG
rnacentral:rRNA from 1 species